rnacentral:lncRNA from 1 species
ACUCAUGGCCCUUGGAUGGAAGUCAGCAGGAAUCCAGGGGGAACAUAUGGCUUAAAAUACUUUCUAGUGUACUGGAAUGGAACGGAAAAGUGCGGUAUCCUCAAAGCCAACAUAUCAGGCCAUGAUCAAUACGAAGUGCACCAAUGGGACAGUAAAGUUGACAAUGAAGCACCACAGUG